rnacentral:rRNA from 1 species
UUCUGGCUCAGGAUGAACGCUAGCUACAGGCUUAACACAUGCAAGUCGAGGGGCAGCAUUGGAGUAGCAAUACUCAGAUGGCGACCGGCGCACGGGUGAGUAACACGUAUCCAACCUGCCGCUUACUCGGGGAUAGCCUUUCGAAAGAAAGAUUAAUACCCGAUGGUAUAAAGAGUUCGCAUGUUCUCUUUAUUAAAGAAUUUCGGUAAGCGAUGGGGAUGCGUUCCAUUAGAUAGUUGGCGGGGUAACGGCCCACCAAGUCUACGAUGGAUAGGGGUUCUGAGAGGAAGGUCCCCCACAUUGGAACUGAGACACGGUCCAAACUCCUACGGGAGGCAGCAGUGAGGAAUAUUGGUCAAUGGACGAGAGUCUGAACCAGCCAAGUAGCGUGAAGGAUGACUGCCCUAUGGGUUGUAAACUUCUUUUAUAAGGGAAUAAAGUGAGGGACGUGUCCCUUUUUGUAUGUACCUUAUGAAUAAGGAUCGGCUAACUCCGUGCCAGCAGCAGC